rnacentral:rRNA from 1 species
UACGGAGGGUGCAAGCGUUGUUCGGAAUUACUGGGCGUAAAGAGCGUGUAGGCGGUAUGAUAAGUCAGAUGUGAAAGCCCUGGGCUUAACCCAGGAAAAGCAUUUGAAACUGUCAUUCUUGAGUAUGGGAGAGGAGAGUGGAAUUCCCAGUGUAGAGGUGAAAUUCGUAGAUAUUGGGAGGAACAUCCGUGGCGAAGGCGACUCUCUGGACCAAUACUGACGCUGAGACGCGAAAGCGUGGGUAGCAAACAGG